UUGUCCACCUGGACCCAGGGAGGCAGCAGCAGCAAGAAGAGGAGGAGCUGCAGAAGCUGUCCCUGCAGCCCCCCUACUAUGAUCUGGGGGUGUCCCCCUCCUACCAACCCUCGGAAGUACCAACAUGAACCCAUCUGGAGGUGCCAAAUCCUGCCCCCGGGGAGGUAGCGUUCCCUUCCCAGGAUACUGAGCCCAGAGAGCCAGCCCAGCCUCCACCUUCUGAUACUACCCAGGGCGCAAAGGACCGCCAGCUAUUUGCUAUUCCUUAACCAACCUAGAGACAUGGAACUGAGCCAGAACUCACUGUGGACACAACAUCCUUCCUCAAACAGCAGCUGGGCAGCUCUUGUGCCACCCUCCUUCCCAUCUGAGGUGCACCCCCACAUCCCAGUCUGCACUGCAUGGGCCUGCUGGUUCCAACAGAAGGGAUCAUAAUGACAUGUGGAGCACUUGCUACAUGCCAGGCACCUGGCUAGUCACUUUUCAAACAUUGUUCUUAUCACACAGAUUGUUCAACAAGCAAUAUAAGUCCUUCCGUUGCCCCAUUUUAUAGAUAAGGAAACGGAGGCUCAGUGAACUUGAA